AACGAACGCUGGCGGCAUGCCUAACACAUGCAAGUCGAACGAGACCUUCGGGUCUAGUGGCGCACGGGUGCGUAACGCGUGGGAAUCUGCCCUUAGGUUCGGAAUAACUCAGGGAAACUUGAGCUAAUACCGGAUAAUGACGUAAGUCCAAAGAUUUAUCGCCUAGGGAUGAGCCCGCGUAGGAUUAGCUAGUUGGUGGGGUAAA
rnacentral:rRNA from 1 species